GGGAAGGUGGCUCAGUGGUAGAGUGCUUGCCUUGCAUGCAUGAGGCCCGGGGUUCGAUUCCCCAGUAUCACA
rnacentral:tRNA from 1 species